rnacentral:rRNA from 1 species
AUGGAGCGGUACGUCGUCGCCCCCUAUCUUCGCGCCUACCUACACCGAUUCGCAGCUUCGGUGUCCGCGGCGAGCUGCGACGCGGGGGAGGUGGGCGGCGAUGUCUGCCGCAACGAGGAGGCCGCUCUGCGGCUCAAGAUGGUCGCCGUCGCGGCCAUCCUUGUCGCGGGCGCCGCCGGCGUCGCCAUCCCGCUCGUUGGCCGCAGGUGGCGUGGUGGGGUUGCAGCCGGUGGGGGCGGGUACACGUUCGUGCUCGCCAAGGCCUUCGCCGCGGGGGUGAUCCUGGCCACGGGGUUCGUGCACAUGAUGCACGACGCCGAGGAGAAAUUCCAGGACCCUUGCCUCCAGGACUCGCCGUGGCGGCGGUUCCCCUUCGCUGGCUCCAUCGCCAUGCUCGCCAGCCUAGUGACACUGGUCGUGGACUUCCUCGGCACCCAGUUUUACGAGCGCAAGCAGCGCGAGGCGGCUGCCGCCGCCGCAACGAGCGCCCAAGAUGAGACAGCGGCGGCGCUGCUGGAGGACGGGAGGAAUGCAGGAGGCGCGAAGCGUGAAGGAGCGGUGCACCACGGCCACGGCCAUGGCCAUGGUCACGAGAACGAGGCGGGCCCGUCCCAAGGUCGUCAGGUGGUUGUUUCCCAGAUUCUGGAGUUGGGGAUUGUAUCACACUCGGUGAUCAUCGGGCUAUUGUUGGGUGUUUCGCAGAGCCCGUGUACCAUCAAGCCUUUGGUUGCUGCCCUCUCCUUCCACCAGUUCUUCGAGGGUUUCGCUCUAGGUGACUGCAUUUCCCAGGCCCGGCUGAAGGGUCUCUCUACGCUCUUGAUGGCUUUCUUCUUUGCCAUCACAGCACCCACAGGGAUCGCCGUGGGGGUGGCCAUGGCGUCAUUCUACGACCCAUACAGCCCCAGGGCGUUGGUGGUGGAGGGCAUUCUUGAUUCCAUGUCAGCUGGUAUACUGAUCUAUAUGGCACUUGUGGAUCUCAUCGCGGCUGAUUUCCUUGGCCAAAGGAUGAGCAGCAGCCCGGCCAGGCUGCAGGCUGGUGCAUACAUUGCAUUGUUUUUCGGGGCCAUAGCCAUGGCAUCCCUUGCCAUCUGGACUUAG